GAUAACCCGUGCGUUUCGUAAGGCUCCGAGCACUUGUACAUUUCUGCAGCCGCGCGGCGAGCCAUUCGCGGCGGCUGCUGCAGCUCCUACUGCAUCUUCCUUCUCCUCCUUUCCUCGGGCUCCGGUCUCGGAGUCGGAGAGCGCGCCUCGCUUCCAGAGCCCCCGGACCCGGCGAGUCAGCGAUCGCCGAGCCGGCCACCAUGCCCGGCAGACCGCGCCACUAGGCGCUCCUCGCGGCUCCCACCCGGCGGCGGCGGCGGCGGCGGCGGCCGCGAUGGUUUCAGACGCUGAAGGAUUUUGCAUCUGAUCGCUCGGCGUUUCAAAGCCAAGUGUAGUUUCUGGCGGAUUUUCUUGCUGGGAAGCGUCUGGCUGGACUAUGUGGGCUCCGUGCUGGCUUGCCCUGCAAAUUGUGUCUGCAGCAAGACUGAGAUCAAUUGCCGGCGGCCGGACGAUGGGAACCUCUUCCCCCUCCUGGAAGGGCAGGAUUCAGGGAACAGCAAUGGGAACGCCAGCAUCAACAUCACGGACAUCUCAAGGAAUAUCACUUCCAU
rnacentral:sRNA from 1 species